rnacentral:rRNA from 1 species
AUUGAACGCUGGCGGCAGGCUUAACACAUGCAAGUCGAACGGUAACAUAAAGAAGCUUGCUUCUUUGAUGACGAGUGGCGGACGGGUGAGUAAUGCUUGGGAAUCUAGCUUAUGGAGGGGGAUAACUACGGGAAACGGUAGCUAAUACCGCGUAAUAUCAAAAGAUUAAAGUGUGGGACCUUCGGGCCACAUGCCAUAGGAUGAGCCCAAGUGGGAUUAGGUAGUUGGUGAGGUAAAGGCUCACCAAGCCGACGAUCUCUAGCUGGUCUGAGAGGAUGACCAGCCACACUGGGACUGAGACACGGCCCAGACUCCUACGGGAGGCAGCAGUGGGGAAUAUUGCGCAAUGGGGGCAACCCUGACGCAGCCAUGCCGCGUGAAUGAAGAAGGCCUUCGGGUUGUAAAGUUCUUUCGGUAGCGAGGAAGGCAUUUAGUUUAAUAGACUAAGUGAUUGACGUUAACUACAGAAGAAGCACCGGCUAACUCCGUGCCAGCAGCCGCGGUAAUACGUAGGGCGCGAGCGUUGUCCGGAAUUAUUGGGCGUAANGNGCUUGUNGGCGGUUUGUCGCGUCUGCUGUGNAAGGCCGGGGCUUNNCCCCGUGUNUUGCUGUGGGUNCGGGCCGNCUNGNGUGCCGUNGGGGNGNCUGGNUUUCCUGGUGUNGCGGUGGNNUGCGCNGNUNUCNGGUGGNUCCCCGNUGGCGNNGGCCGGUCUCUGGGCUGUCCUGUCNGCUGCGAUGCGUUUGCCUGGGGUGCGCCAGAGAGUNGCUCCCCUGNUNGUCCNUNCCGUNNNCGUCCCUCAAAAGGAGUGGGGGACAUUACACGUUUUACGCGCCGUAGCUAACGCAUUAAAUGCCCCGCCUGGGGAGUACGGCCGCAAGGCUAAAACUCAAAGAAAAUUGACGGGGGCCCGCACAAGCGGCGGAGCAUGCGGAUUAAUUCGAUGCAACGCGAAGAACCUUACCAAGGCUUGACAUAUACUGGACCGCAUCAGAGAUGGUGUUUCCCUUCGGGGCUGGUAUACAGGUGGUGCAUGGUUGUCGUCAGCUCGUGUCGUGAGAUGUUGGGUUAAGUCCCGCAACGAGCGCAACCCUCGUUCUAUGUUGCCAGCACGUUAUGGUGGGGACUCAUAGGAGACUGCCGGGGUCAACUCGGAGGAAGGUGGGGAUGACGUCAAAUCAUCAUGCCCCUUAUGUCUUGGGCUUCACGCAUGCUACAAUGGCCGGUACAGAGGGUUGCGAUACUGUGAGGUGGAGCUAAUCCCUAAAAGCCGGUCUCAGUUCGGAUUGGGGUCUGCAACUCGACCCCAUGAAGUCGGAGUCGCUAGUAAUCGCAGAUCAGCAAUGCUGCGGUGAAUACGUUCCCGGGCCUUGUACACACCGCCCGUCA